rnacentral:rRNA from 1 species
GGGAGGAAGGUGGGGAUGACGUCAAGUCCUCAUGGCCUUUAUACCCAGGGCUACACACGUGCUACAAUGGGCUGUACAAAGGGCUGCGACUCUGUAAGGAGAAGCUAAUCCCAAAAAGUAGUCCUAAGUUCGGAUUGGAGUCUGCAACUCGACUCCAUGAAGCUGGAAUCGCUAGUAAUCGUGGAUCAGCAUGCCACGGUGAAUACGUUCCCGGGCCUUGUACACACCGCCCGUCACACCACGAAAGCUGGUUGUACCAGAAGUUGCUGGGCUAACCCCUGAGCUUGUUGAAGGGGAGGCAGGCACCUAAGGUAUGGCUGGUGAUUGGGGUGAAGUCGUAACAAGGUAGCCGUAGAGGAAUCUGCGGCUGGAUCACCUCCUUUCUAAGGAG